UGUGUCUGUGUAAAGUGGUUGGCAUUAAGAAGGGCAUCCAGCUGUAGAAACCAAGUUAAAUCAGACUGCAACCUGGUACGGCUCUCCGAUUUACAAGUCCCAGUCAAACUGUCUUACCCAUGCCAG